AUGAACGCUGGCGGCGUGCCUAAUACAUGCAAGUCGAGCGAACAGACGAGGAGCUUGCUCCUCUGACGUUAGCGGCGGACGGGUGAGUAACGCGUGGAUAACCUACCUAUAAGACUGGGAUAACUUCGGGAAACCGGAGCUAAUACCGGAUAAUAUAUUGAACCGCAUGGUUCAAUAGUGAAAGACGGUUUUGCUGUCACUUAUAGAUGGAUCCGCGCCGCAUUAGCUAGUUGGUAAGGUAACGGCUUACCAAGGCAACGAUGCGUAGCCGACCUGAGAGGGUGAUCGGCCACACUGGAACUGAGACACGGUCCAGACUCCUACGGGAGGCAGCAGUAGGGAAUCUUCCGCAAUGGGCGAAAGCUUGACGGAGCAACGCCGCGUGAGUGAUGAAGGUCUUCGGAUCGUAAAACUCUGUUAUUAGGGAAGAACAAAUGUGUAAGUAACUAUGCACGUCUUGACGGUACCUAAUCAGAAAGCCACGGCUAACUACGUG
rnacentral:rRNA from 1 species